CCUCCGUCCCAAUUCCUAGGUUUCCGUGCCAACGUUUGACUAUCCAUCUUAUAUAAAAAAAUUUUUAUAAUUAAUAUUUUCAUUGUUGUUAGAUAAUAAAACAUGAUUAAUACUUUAUGCGUAAUUAUUUUUUUAAAUAAGACGAACUGUCAAAAAUUUGGGACGGAGGGAGGGAGUACA
rnacentral:pre_miRNA from 1 species